rnacentral:tRNA from 1 species
GCCCUCGUAGCUCAGCAGGAUAGAGCAGUUCCCUCCUAAGGAAAAGGUCGUGCGUUCGAAUCGCGCCGGGGGUACCA